rnacentral:rRNA from 1 species
GAUGAACGCUGGCGGCGUGCCUAAUACAUGCAAGUCGAGCGAACAGACGAGGAGCUUGCUCCUCUGACGUUAGCGGCGGACGGGUGAGUAACACGUGGAUAACCUACCUAUAAGACUGGGAUAACUUCGGGAAACCGGAGCUAAUACCGGAUAAUAUAUUGAACCGCAUGGUUCAAUAGUGUAAGACGGUUUUGCUGUCACUUAUAGAUGGAUCCGCGCCGCAUUAGCUAGUUGGUAAGGUAACGGCUUACCAAGGCAACGAUGCGUAGCCGACCUGAGAGGGUGAUCGGCCACACUGGAAGUGAGACACGGUCCAGACUCCUACGGGAGGCAGCAGUAGGGAAUCUUCCGCAAUGGGCGAAAGCUUGACGGAGCAACGCCGCGUGAGUGAUGAAGGUCUUCGGAUCGUAAAACUCUGUUAUUAGGGAAGAACAAAUGUGUAAGUAACUAUGCACGUCUUGACGGUACCUAAUCAGAAAGCCACGGCUAACUACGUG